rnacentral:tRNA from 1 species
UCAACGAUUGUAAAGUGGUGAGUAUCUCCGCCUGUUACGUGGAAGGGCCGGGUUCGAUUCCCAGUCGAGGAG